UUUCUACUUCAUCAGAGGUAGAGGUAUGGACUGCAUACAUCUUACCCCCCAGACCCCACUAAGUGGAAAUACACUGGAUUUGUUGUUGUUGUUGUUGUUGAUCUCUCUAUUUUUAUGAGAUAGAGACAAUGUCUGCAUAUACUAGACUCUUUUCAGAUCUCAUUUAUGAAAUUAUUUAAAGAUAUACCUCAUUGAUAUAUUAAAGAAAGAACUUGGCUAAUUUGCUUUAUCAAACACAAAUUUUUUAUUUAUAUUAGUGUAGACACCUAAUUUUGUCCCUCCUAAAUCUAAUUUUAUUCAUUUUUACCUCACUUUAUCAUACACCCUUACCCACGUGAUUAUACCCUCCAUAAAAUGACAAAAAUAACAACUCUUAACAAAUUUUAUCUUGUUUGGAUCCUAUCCUAACAAACUUUAUCCUUACACCUCACCUACCCUACCUCUAGCUCACCGACCCUACCUCACUACCCCACCUCACCUCACUGGAUAUACCCACAACAAUAUAUAUAUACAAAGGACAAUAUUCAAGAGGGGACAAAGAGAAUUCCCACAGGUUCCAUCUCCAUUAUAGAUACAUAAAAAAAGCUCACCAAAAGGACUCUCCACAGACACUCACAGAAGCACAAUACCACCUCAUUGGAUGGAGGAUCUUCUUCUCCAUAUCAUUGACACACGGAAACGGGCACCACACCAUUAACAGAUCUCACCACCAUUUUCUUCUACACAAUAACGAACACACGCACAGCCACCGGAUGACACACACCCAUGAGAAAAAAGAGGAAGAAACAGCGAGAGAGAGAGAAAGUUGAGAGAUCGUCGCCAGAAAAUAUUGUGUCCGCUUGUUCUUUUCUUUAUAAUUACUACUGAGCUCGCCGGAGCUCCGGCAAAGGAAAAACCAUAAAGCCCGCCCCCUUUUCUUUCAUUUUCUGACCAAACUACCCCCAAAAAGUCCAUCUCGCCUUUUUUUUUUGGUUGAAACCAGAUCAAGUUCUAUUUAGCCGCGACUCCCAAUUCAGUUUUCUCGGCUAUAUCCUCGCCGGAAUCGGCUUUAUCUCAACAGACAGACUCGUUACAGUCUCGGAAUCCCCCAUGCCUAUUCGACUUGGAAUCCAGUGAGAAUUAAUUGAAAAUUGGGUUCGGGUAUUGUCUGUUCGCAGUUUUAUUUUGGGUCAGUGGAAGACGGAAAAGGGAGGCAUACCGGAGUUGGUUCAAAUGGAGGUUCUGAAUCGAGGUUCUUCGGCACGGAUUCUAUCCUUUCAUUGAAGUAUUAUUGAAUUUCAAAACUUCGAAUCGAGGGAAUGCCCCGAGGGAUUUGUAUUGAUUUAUCCGGGGAAUGCCCCGAAGUACCAUGUACUUGAAGAUGACGCAUGAUCAAGGCCCGGAACAUCGGGUGGAGAAAGCAACAGAGUGUAGUUUAAAAUUAGCAUAGAAUAGAGUAGGUUUAUAGCUUCGCAUUUUUUUAUUUCGGGAUUGUAAUAAUCGGGCUGGACAUUAUAAUUUUGGAUUGUUUUGUUUUGGUA